AUAUGUCAGUUCCCACAUCAAUUUCUUACCAUGAUGUAUAGUUUACUCCUCCCAGGUCUGGCUGGCAUUUCACACUCUUAUUGCAUGACUCACUUUGAGAGUGGAAGCUCUUCAUUGGUUUAGAAGAAUAACAGAAUGCAAAUGUCUUAAAUGCUUUUUUCUGUUAAGUGUUUAUCCUUAACUCUUAACUGGAUUGUCCUUCUGCCUUCGAAGGUUGCAGAGGUGAAUUCGAACCUAAAACUUCUUGAGUUUACCUGCUGCACGCAGUGGAGACUUAGAGUAGCAGUUCUGGCUAACCUUUCCCUUUGUCU